GGAAGUCUGGUGUAACAUCAGAGACCAGAAGGCUGUGAGGAUGUGAGAAUGGACAUGAAGCACCUGGAACAUUCUGGAACACUCCUUACAAAUCCUGCACCAACACCACUAAUGAAGAGAAGUUGAAUAGAGAUAAAACAGGAGGUGCCAGCAUUAUGGGAUGGCGGUGUAAGCUCUGCACAUUUGUCGUAUCAUCAAAAGGAAUUUCGAUCAUUACCGAGUGAAGCAUGGUACUGUUGGUCAUGGAUAUUUAGUGUCCUGUCUUCAUUUAGACUGUCAUUGCUUAUUUAAGACCUGAGAAGGUCUGCACACACAUUUGUAUGGAUCCCACAGUUUGCAGGAAACUGAAGUGUGAAGGUGUGCAAUCUUUCAGAUGUAAAAUGUGACUCAUUAGAUUCUAAUACAAAAGUCUACUUUCCAUGUGUUAACUGUAUAAUACUUGUGGCAGGAGUAUUGUUUCUGAAACUGUUUACUAAUAACAUAAAUUCAGCUCUUUGUUUAUGAUCUUGUUACAUGUCAUUUGCAAAGUAAACCAGGUUGAGUUUAGACUUCAUGUCUUGUCAAA